UCCGAUAGCGAACAAGUACCGUGAGGGAAAGUUGAAAAGUACUUUGAAGAGAGAGUAAACAGUACGUGAAACCGCUCAGAGGUAAACGGGUGGAGUUGAACUGCAAGCUCUGAGGAUUAAGCUGGUGAGUAUGGCAUGAGCUGGGUCAUGUUGGUUGUGAGUCUGGGUCUGCUUAGCUGCAGGUUCUCGCCUUCUGGUGGGAAUGCGCGUUGCACUUAUCAAGUGUUGUGCGCCCAGUCUCCUUCGAACCUGCUCGCCAGUGCACUUUCUCAGAGUGUUCACCACGACCGACGUCGCCGCCUGGCUGUUGUGGUUAAACCGGCCGCGUAGGGUCUUUGUGACUUUGCGCGGUUCGGGAUGGCAGGUAACCUGUUGUGCACUUUUGUGCCUCCAGGUGUAAUAGCUGACUGCAUCGGUUCUGUGCGGUACGUCGGAGACGGCGGCUUGUUGUGUGUGCAGGCGUGCUGUUGUGCUGACAGCUUCGAGUCUGGUUGCCUUGUUGCUUGUGAACGCAGGCCGGGUGA
rnacentral:rRNA from 2 species